GUGGGGAAUAUUGGGCAAUGGGGGAAACCCUGACCCAGCGACGCCGCGUGAGGGAAGAAGGCCUUAGGGUCGUAAACCUCUGUUGUGUGGGAAGAAGAGCGUGACGGUACCACACGAGGAAGUCCCGGCUAACUACGUGCCAGCAGCCGCGGUAAUACGUAGGGGACGAGCGUUGUCCGGAUUUACUGGGCGUAAAGGGCGCGUAGGCGGUCAUUUAAGUCAGCUGUGAAAUGGUUUGGCUUAACCGGAUCAUGCGGUUGAAACUGGAUGACUGGAGUGCUGGAGAGGAAAGUGGAAUUCCCAGUGUAGCGGUGAAAUGCGUAGAUAUUGGGAAGAACACCGGUGGCGAAGGCGACUUGCUGGCCAGUAACUGACGCUGAGGCGCGAAAGCCAGGGGAGCAAACGGGAUUAGAUACCCGGGUAGUCC
rnacentral:rRNA from 1 species